UUUACUAGAUUUGUUCUAGAAGCAAAGCCUUAUGGGGGUUAACUGAGGUGUUUUCAAAAAAUGACGGCUGCAUUUAUCUAAUGGCAGAAGCUGAGGUCGUGUUUUUCCUUGUUUGUUUUGAGUUGCAGACUCUUUUAUAGCAUGCGGUGUCUAUAGCUUAUCCUUGUGUCUUACUCGCUCUUUAUACUUGUGUUUUCUUUCGACUCUUGACACAGCUGCUGGGAAAUAAGGCAAAUAACAAUGAGAGUCUCGCAGCAAAGUAACCAAGGACGAGCUUCAAAACAGAAUGUAAGCGACAAGGAACAAAACAAUCAUCCACAUACACAAUCUAAUGCUGAUCAGAAUCUGAGGAAUAAAAGAUUGUUGGAAGAGGGUCCCCGAAAAAACUGGAGAGUCAAGUCUAUGUGAGAGAGGCAGAAGUGAAGACCCCACGGUGGCAGCGGCUGUCGUCACUGACGCGUUACCCGCUUCUGUGUACAGAUUCAUUUGUACGAUCCUAAUGAAUUUGCCCCAGGGAGCUGGAACCUAAACAUGCAAUUUGUUUUUGAACGACUUUUGUAGGGGAGAAGUGAAACCCUGUGCAGACUCCCACCACCCACAGGAAAAUUGGGAUGAGGCUUGCCUGGGCUUACCCCUUAGAAGUGUACAUAAAGCUCUUGGGCCCCAUAAAAAAUCUUAAUAAAG